AGGAAGUAGACCGACAUGGUAAUGGCGGUGGCAGAAGUCUCAUGACCACCAAACAGAAGACCUAACAUGAGAUCACCAAACCGCAGUGCAUCGAGUUUGGAGUUGUCUAAGCAGAAGCCGAGGAUAUCCGACUCCCCAAUCUCAUCAGUACCCUCCUUCCUCUUACAGAUCCUCUCCUCCAUCAUCUCCUUGAUAGUUUUCAGAAUUUCUUUUCUCGCCCGCACGGCCUUGCCAUGUGUAGUAAAAGGGAGGUUGAUAGGGAUGGCAACCAGCCCCUUCAUGAAUCUUGUGAAUAGCACCCGCAUUUUCUCAGUUCUUGGAUCCUCGGGUUUCAUGCUAAGUAUGUUUUUCACCAUCAAAUUGAAGGUCACCUUGCUCGCCUGCUCCUUCACUUGAAAAGGAACGUCCUCCUUCCAUGUUUUGAAGGCAUCAGUGAUGAACUUCUCUGCAUCUCCGAGGAAAUAGUUGCGGAGCCUGGGGAUUCCCAUGAAGUUGGCAGUCAGGGACUUCAUGGAGCGGUGGAUAUCACCGGUGAGCACUAGCAUCGAGUGCUCACCGAGAAUUGCUGCAACAGCCUUUGGGAAGCUAGGUUCGAAGAGCCUCUCGUCG
rnacentral:misc_RNA from 1 species